GACUGCCCAUGAUGGCACUUUAUCCUUGACCAGAACCUGAGGCGGAACUUCAAAACAUGCAUCUGUGUACCAUUUCAAUAAGAGAGCAGAAUUGUUACCGCCCAUCAAGCAACCAGCUUAACUGUAAAGAAUAGUCUUCUAAAUCAGUGUAAAUAGAAAAACUUCGAUUUAAAUGGAUUGCAUGCAAUUGCAAUUAGUAAGCAGCAGAAGCACUAAUGAGGAAGAGAGCCAGGCAGGUGAAAAACCGAAGCCAAGGUAAAUGAAGCAGUCUCUGAUGAAUAAGCAAACGUUAACUCAGGGCACCGGGAAACAGAGUGAGUUGGAGAUGCCCAGGGAGCCCUCAAAUGAAAAUAGCUGGAAAGCCUCCAGAGGGACGGAGCUGAGUAUAGAGAUGGGCA